GUGUGCUGUUAGAGAUUAAAUUUUCCUCACCCUAUUGUAGCAGUCACUGCCAGCUUCAUUAAAGGAGUAUCUCCUAUCUUUGGCCUGCUGGGGAGUGGGAGGACUCAACUCCCACUGUGUCUGAUCUGGUUAGUUAGAAAUCCUGGUUCUUGCCUGGUCUCUGCUCAUUAUGCAAACAUGGACUUGGAGAGCAUUCAUCGAAACUGCUUUUUAUUCUCCUUGAAUGCAGAACUAAGCAUUGCAAGUGAGGCAACCACAGGUGCAUGGAAGAAGGAUAAUUGCUGAAAUGGUUAUACAGUGUGGAUCCUAUCUGAUGAAACACUUGCUACUGCAGUCAGGUUGGUUUCUUGGGGAACAAGUAAAAGUCGUCUUCUUUCCUUUCUUCCUCUGCCUCAUUCCCUCUGAGUUUUAGAGGAGGAAUUUAUAAAGAUCAAGAAGUGAAUAAUUUAUGGGAUAAAAGUAGCUAUGAGCAGCUUCAGGCUGGAUUCAGCUUCAGCACAAACCCCAGGUGCUGUUGUAUAACACUCAGUGUUGCAGUG
rnacentral:lncRNA from 1 species